GGGGAAUAUUGGACAAUGGGGGAAACCCUGAUCCAGCAAUGCCGCGUGAGUGAUGAAGGCCUUCGGGCUGUAAAGCUCUUUUGUCAGGGACGAUGAUGACGGUACCUGACGAAUAAGCUCCGGCUAACUUCGUGCCAGCAGCCGCGGUAAUACGAGGGGAGCUAGCGUUGUUCGGAAUUACUGGGCGUAAAGGGCGUGUAGGCGGUACCAUAAGUCAGAUGUGAAAGCCCUGGGCUUAACCUAGGAUGUGCAUUUGAUACUGUGGAACUAGAGAUCGAGAGAGGAAAGUGGAAUUACGAGUGUAGAGGUGAAAUUCGUAGAUAUUCGUAAGAACACCAGUGGCGAAGGCGACUUUCUGGCUCGAUACUGACGCUAAGGCGCGAAAGCGUGGGGAGCAAACAGGA
rnacentral:rRNA from 1 species